UUUUAUUUGAGAGUUUGAUCCUGGCUCAGGAUGAACGCUGGCGGCGUGCCUAACACAUGCAAGUUGAGCGAUUUACUUCGGUAAAGAGCGGCGGACGGGUGAGUAACGCGUGGGUAACCUACCCUGUACACACGGAUAACAUACCGAAAGGUAUGCUAAUACGGGAUAAUAUAUUUGAGAGGCAUCUCUUGAAUAUCAAAGGUGAGCCAGUACAGGAUGGACCCGCGUCUGAUUAGCUAGUUGGUAAGGUAACGGCUUACCAAGGCGACGAUCAGUAGCCGACCUGAGAGGGUGAUCGGCCACAUUGGAACUGAGACACGGUCCAAACUCCUACGGGAGGCAGCAGUGGGGAAUAUUGCACAAUGGGCGAAAGCCUGAUGCAGCAACGCCGCGUGAGUGAUGAAGGCCUUCGGGUCGUAAAACUCUGUCCUCAAGGAAGAUAAUGACGGUACUUGAGGAGGAAGCCCCGGCUAACUACGUGCCAGCAGCCGCGGUAAUACGUAGGGGGCUAGCGUUAUCCGGAUUUACUGGGCGUAAAGGGUGCGUAGGCGGUCUUUCAAGUCAGGAGUGAAAGGCUACGGCUCAACCGUAGUAAGCUCUUGAAAC
rnacentral:rRNA from 1 species